UGUCGCAGUAAGUCAUGGUGGACGACCAUUUGCCGCCCUGGGUCUUUACCUCAGUGAGCGCCACGAAAGUCGAGCUCCUGUGACUCACCCUUUCAUCAACAUGAGCUCCCAUUCAUCCAAAUUUGGAGCAACCAUACCCGGCCUUUAUAAAUUGAGCAUUCCCCUUGCUCCGUAUCUCAGUUAUGAACCCAGCGCACCACUCCUCGCCUCAGAUCAUCCACCAUAGCUCGCGAAUUCCAAAUUUUCCCCAAAUCGACCGGAACACCGCCGUGAGGCAUCGCGCCGUGUCCAGCCGUUCUCAGGUGAUGAAACUGCUGAGCUCUGCUGUUUCUGUUCCAAGGUGGUUCCCAAGCAGGAGGAGGAAAACUAAGGCUUACCUGGGAAGGUGUUUUUCCUUCCAGUGAUGUAAUAAUAAGUUUAUACCCGUAUAUGUAAUAAUCAACUCUUUCUAUAUUUUACUUAUGAAUGUGAACUAUGUUAUUGUAAUCCUUUCCGCUUACUACGAUGAUAUGUAAUGCCUGUGUGAUGGAUUAA